AUCGAACGCUGGCGGCAUGCCUAACACAUGCAAGUCGAACGAGAGGCGGACUGGUGAGUCAUUUCUGCGAAACUGCCUGACGUACGGGGAUAACUACUGUAACCGGUAGCUAAUACUGCUAACCACCCUAUCUGCCCUCAUGGGUUUAGCUCGUUGGUGGGGUAACGGCUCACCAAGGCGACGAUCCCUACCUGGUCUGAGAGGAUGACCAGCCACACUGGAACUGAGACACGGUCCAGACUCCUACGGGAGGCAGCAGUGGGGAAUAUUGGGCAAUGGGCGCAAGCCUGAUGCAGCCAUGCCGCGUGUAUGAAGAAGGCCGUCGGGUUGUAAAGUACUUUCAGCGGGGAGGCGUUACCCGCAGAAGAAGCACCGGCUAACUCCGUGCCAGCAGCCGCGGUAAUAC
rnacentral:rRNA from 1 species